CUUUAAGAUUGCAUCUAGGGUGCCUAAUGACGAUAGAUGAAAGAUAAAUGAAAUGAAAAGCAAAAAGCAACACCCCUUAUGUGUGGGAGUUACACCUUUGUUACUAUUGCUUGAAGCACGACGCUGCUUCAACUUCUUUAGUAAGGUCUCAUACAACAUAAACUGUAUGGAAGGAUUGCUGACCUGGCGGAAACAGUUGGGACAAGGACUCAAGAAGUGACAAUCAUACAGCAUAGACCAAAGUCAUUUGACACAUACCAUAACCAAUGUCGGGAAAACGCCUUUCCAGAAUCCCCAGAUUCCAGCUUCAUCAAAGACUUCUUGAACCUGUAUAAAAUAAGGUAUUCAAGUUACAACCUCAAGGACUUGAUAAUCCUAUAGAUCAACUGUAAGUCAUACUUAACCAAUAAUAUAAUAAACUUGAUAGCCAACACUAUGGUAUUGAACAGCAAUCAAGAAAACAAUAGUUGGACAACUAUCAGCUUGUAGCUGUAUAGCUGUAUAAUCAUUUUAUUAUUAAUUUUUUUUCAUAAAUACUUAUUUGGAACAGUGAGUUGGUUGUUAGAUGGCUUGAAAAUCAUUUUAUUUAGUACGAA